GAUGAAGAACGCAGCGAAAUGCGAUAAGUAAUGUGAAUUGCAGAAUUCAGUGAAUCAUCGAAUCUUUGAACGCACAUUGCGCCCGGUAGUAUUCUGCCGGGCAUGCCUGUUCGAGCGUCAUUUCAACCAUCAAGCCCCAGCGCUUGUGUUGGGGACCUGCGGCUGCCGCAGGCCCUGAAAACCAGUGGCGGGCUCGCUAGUCACUCCGAGCGUAGUAAUACAUCUCGCUCAGGGCGUGCUGCGGGUUCCGGCCGUUAAAAAGCCUUAUUUACCCAAGGUUGACCUCGGAUCAGGUAGGAAGACCCGCUGAACUUAAGCAUAUCAAUAAGCGGAGGA
rnacentral:misc_RNA from 1 species